GCCAGCAUGGCGUAGUGGUUUGAGCACUGGAUUAUGGCUCUUGAGACCAGGGUUCAAUUCCCAGCUUGGCC
rnacentral:tRNA from 1 species